AGUUAUAAUUGCACCAGGUUGUUUGUAGAAAAGUUCUAAGCAAUGUUGGGCUAGGUCAUUAUUGGGAUGGGAAACCUCCAAGGAAUACCUAGGUACUACAAGAA
rnacentral:rRNA from 1 species